UACAGAGGUCUCAAGCGUUGUUCGGAUUUAUUGGGCGUAAAGAGCGUGUAGGCGGCCCGAUAAGUCCGCCGUGAAAGUCCAGGGCUCAACCCUGGAAUGCCGGUGGAAACUGUCGGGCUGGAGUCCGGAAGAGGCGAGUGGAAUUCCUGGUGUAGCGGUGAAAUGCGCAGAUAUCAGGAGGAACACCAAUGGCGAAGGCAGCUCGCUGGGACGGUACUGACGCUGAGACGCGAAAGCGUGGGGAGCAAACAGG
rnacentral:rRNA from 1 species